GGUAGUUACUAGAGGAGAGAAAAAUCAUAUAUACCUUACCCUGGUAUACCAUUCUGUACCUUUUCCAUGGUUGUGUGCAUAUGCUUUUUCUGAGGGAUCAUAAAGCAAUAAAUUCAUAUAUUCUGGUGAUAGGAGUUUUUUGUAUGUAUAGUGAUGACAAGUAUUCUGUACCCCUUGGCUGACAUUAUUGAUACCUUGUACAUGGACCUGGGGCUGACAUUAUUGAUGAGAAAGUAGAUAAAAAGAUGAAGACUUCUUCAUAGUAUUGCAUGACAUUCUGGCUGAAAUUGAAGAAGUUAUUGAGCUUCAUCCAGUCCCAGUUAUUGAUCAGUACAACUAUCUUUACUUUUUUUGUUUGCCCUCUUUGGUUAUAGAAUAAAAUGAUAUAUUACCUCAAAUUAUGGCUUCUGAAUAUUAAAUGUGUUGAAUAAUCGCAACUUGAACUUCUUAAUCCUGUAUGGCUGAUCACUUGUUGUUCGUACAUGCACUACAACAAAGCAGACAA